AGAGAGAGAAGCAGCAGUCUGAGCUGAGCAGGCAAGGAGGCAACAUCAGGCUGAGCUGCUCCUGGAACGUCUUGGAGCAUCUGAUGAGGUGGGCUCAGACUCGUGAAAUCUGAUGCAUCUUUGAUUUAGUUCGAUUCUCAACUGGGGUACUGGAGCACCCAGAGGUGCCAUAAGACCCUUUGAGGGUGGCCCAAGUUGUGAGAGGAUAAGCAGGUUUGGUCUUCAGAAAUGUAGAAACUGAACCUUGCUCAUCUACAGAUGGACAAGAUGCGGCAAGGUUUCUUCAGUUAACCUUCCCAUAAUUGUAACUACAACCAAACUACCACUAGAGCAUAUUACAGGUUUGUCCCUAUAUGACCACAUUCCUUACUUCUUCAAAAUUGAGGCUUCCAAGUGUUCUGAUUUAUAACAGAAUAGAAGAUGUGGGUCCUGCCUACAAAUGUUCAAAAUAAAUGGUAUCAACUGGAAAUACCCCUUGAAUCAAUUGUUAUAGUUUGUAAAAUGCUCCUAUGUGCUGACAUUCUCUGCUAAAAUAAAACUUAUGCUGAAUUAAGUUUGUUCUGCUAGUUAAAUUUAAUUUAGUUAAAUUUACCUGCAGAACAACAGAAUACUAACAUAUUCUACAUCCGACUUCCCUGUCACAAAGACCUGAUGGCAUCAUGUUUUUCAGAAGAGGCUGCUAUUGCCUCAGUUGCCCACAAGAUGGCCUGAUUACUUAACUCAUUCAUCAGUAGCAUAAUCAAUUAUUUAUUUUCAAGUUAAGCAUGCUGACCAAGUAGUGAGGAAACUGAGAUUUGACAAUGAAGUUGCUCUUUUUUUUUUUUUUUAAGGGAAACCUGCAUUUUUUUGGUCAUCCCAAAAAGCUUGUUCCCAGUUUGCCUCAACUUACUAAUGUGUACAUUUAUCUGCCUUUUUGUCUUCAUCAGGAUUUUACAUCGUGUUACUUUCCACAUGUUAGAUGACAUGAUGUGAGAACACACUUUUCUUCCUUUUUAAAUGCACAGAGAGCAGGAGAUAGGAGGUGCAGCACAGAGCAGAUUACCUUGUCUGACUCCCUAUGGUUAUAAGUUGAUUGCGAAAUGUUUUUUUCCAUAUUGUUAACUGUUUCAAAAACCUCUCCAGAGUCUGACAGUUUUGUAUUCUCCCACUUUCAAGGAAAUGAGUUACUACCUCUUUUAUAGGGCUGCUUCUCCUUCUCUAGUUUAAGUGAUCUAAUUUGCAGUAAUUUGUUGUGGCUAAUUCACUGCCAUAUGUUUAUUUUGUAGGUAUAUCAAAUGAGCAGAGCAAAGUAAUUAAACUUCCUGAUUAGCCUUUUAAUUAAAAGGAUGAGUGCACUGUCUGCCAAAACACUCAUUUGCUAGCAUGUGUAUUCGCCACCCCUGUAUUCUUCUGUCACACCAGGUGUUAUUUACCCAUCUAAUAAACUUCCCAGAAAUGGGGACAACCUCUUUAUGACUAGUUUACUGUUACUGAGAUUUUUUUUUUUUUCUUCCAGCAGAUGAUUUAUUGUGAGAAUAAUUUGCUUAGAGGCUUUGGUUUGUUUUUUUUUUUGU